AGAGUUUGAUCCUGGCUCAGAACGAACGCUGGCGGCGUGCCUAACACAUGCAAGUCGAACGGGAUCAAGGGGCUUGCUCCUUGGUUUAGUGGCGCACGGGUGAGUAACGCGUGGGUAACCUGCCCUCGAGACUGGGAUAACUUGCCGAAAGGUGGGCUAAUACCGGAUAAGACCACGUCCCUCUGGGGAAGUGGUAAAAGGUGGCGUAAGCUGCCGUUUGAGGAUGGACCCGCGUUCGAUUAGCUAGUUGGUGGGGUAACGGCCUACCAAGGCGACGAUCGAUAGCUGGUCUAAGAGGAUGAUCAGCCACACUGAACUGAGACACUGCC
rnacentral:rRNA from 1 species